rnacentral:rRNA from 1 species
AGAGUUUGAUCAUGGCUCAGAACGUACGCUGGCGGCACGCCUAACACAUGCAAGUCGAACGAAGUAGCAAUACUUAGUGGCAGACGGGUGAGUAACAUGUAGGUAUCUGCCCUUUGGCCUGGAAUAACACGAGGAAACUUGUGCUAAUACCGGAUAAGUCUUUACGGAGAAAGCUUUAUGCACCAUUGGAUGAGCCUGCACUUGAUUAGUUUGUUGGUGGGGUAAUGGCCUACCAAGACUGUGAUCAAUAGCUGAUUUGAGAGGAUGAUCAGCCACAUUGGGACUGAGACACGGCCCAAACUCCUACGGGAGGCAGCAGUGGGGAAUCUUGCACAAUGGAGGAAACUCUGAUGCAGCGAUGCCGCGUGAGUGAAGAAGGCCCUUGGGUUGUAAAGCUCUUUCGUCGGGGAAGAAAAUGACUGUACCCGAAUAAGAAGGUCCGGCUAACUUCGUGCCAGCAGCCGCGGUAAUACGAAGGGACCUAGCGUAGUUCGGAAUUACUGGGCUUAAAGAGUUCGUAGGUGGUUGAAAAAGUUGGUGGUGAAAUCCCAGAGCUUAACUCUGGAACUGCCAUCAAAACUUUUCAGCUAGAGUAUGAUAGAGGAAAGCAGAAUUUCUAGUGUAGAGGUGAAAUUCGUAGAUAUUAGAAAGAAUACCAAUUGCGAAGGCAGCUUUCUGGAUCAUUACUGACACUGAGGAACGAAAGCAUGGGUAGCGAAGAGGAUUAGAUACCCUCGUAGUCCAUGCCGUAAACGAUGUGUGUUAGACGUUGGAAAUUUAUUUUCAGUGUCGCAGGGAAACCGAUAAACACACCGCCUGGGGAGUACGACCGCAAGGUAA